rfam:Alistipes sp. CAG:435 genomic scaffold, scf7
GGGGGUAUAGCUCAGUUGGUAGAGCACCUGCUUUGCAAGCAGGGGGUCUAGAGUUCGAAUCUCUAUAUCUCCA